rnacentral:rRNA from 1 species
GGAGGGUGCAAGCGUUGUUCGGAAUCACUGGGCGUAAAGGGCGCGUAGGCGGCCGAUCAAGUCUGAUGUGAAAGCCCGGGGCUCAACCCCGGAAGUGCAUUGGAUACUGGUCGGCUUGAGUUCGGGAGAGGAGGGCAGAAUUCCCGGUGUAGGGGUGAAGUCCGUAGAUAUCGGGAGGAAAACCAGUGGCGAAGGCGGCCCUCUGGAACGAAACUGACGUUGAGGCGCGAAAGCGUGGGGAGCAAACAGGAUUAGAGACCCUGGUAGUCCACGCUGUAAACGAUGGAUGCUAGGUGUAGGGGUCAUGAAUGAUCUCUGUGCCGCAGCUAACGCGAUAAGCAUCCCGCCUGGGGAGUACGGUCGCAAGGCUA